GAGCUUAUAGUUCAAUGGUGGAACCCGUUGCUCAUAACGACGUAGUUGUAGGUUCGAGUCCUGCUAAGCUCA
rnacentral:tRNA from 1 species